AGCAGUUCUUGGUCAGGUGCUACAGCUGCAGAGCUCUUCACUUACCGGGCGAAGAUGUGUAGGCUCUGAAGUGCAGCAUUUGAUGACCUCAAGCUGGGUAACUAUGAAACCAAGGUAUGUGGAUUCUUUGUGGCACCCCACAUUUUGGAAAGACUGUUUUCCUGGAGAGCAGGAAGCACAAAGCUGGAGCAGGAGUGUUGAAGAUGCCUACUCACAUCUGCAGUCUUACAGGAAGAAAAUACAUGAGGAUCACAUCACAGCCAAGAUCCCAAGAAGUAGGUGAGUGAAACAAAGAGGGGAGGAAGUUCAUUGCCCCAUGAACAAAGUCUGGGACACCAGAUUUUUUUAACUGUA
rnacentral:lncRNA from 1 species